rnacentral:rRNA from 1 species
AGGCCGUACCGAUAUCCGCAGCAGGUCUCCGAGGUGAGCAGCCUCUAGCCGAUAGAAUAAUGUAGGUAAGGGAAGUCGGCAAAACCGAUCCGUAACUUCGGGAUAAGGAGGCCUCGUCGGCGGGCAACCGUUGGCGAGGGGCACAAACUAGGGGGUGGCGACUGUUUAACAAAAACACAGGGCUCUGCUAAGCCGCAAGGCGACGUAUAGGGUCUGACGCCUGCCCGGUGCCGGAAGGUUAAGAGGAGCGCUUAGCGUAAGCGAA